AUACGGAGGACGCGAGCGUUAUCCGGAUUCAUUGGGUUUAAAGGGUGCGCAGGCGGCCGUGCAAGUCAGCGGUGAAAGCCCGGGGCCCAACCCCGGAAGUGCCGUUGAUACUGCAUGGCUUGAAUGCGGUCGAGGCGGGCGGGACGUGGGGUGUAGGGGGGAAAAGCGUAGAUAUGCCACAGAACGCCGAUAGCGGAGGCAGCUCGCCAGGCCUGCAUUGACGCUCGGGCACGAAAGCGUGGGGAUCGAACAGGAUUAGAUACCCUGGUAGUCCACGCCGUAAACGAUGGGCGCUCGUCGUCGGCGGCAGACAGUCGGCGGCCAAGCGAAAGCGAUAAGCGCCCCACCUGGGGAGUACGGUCGCAAGGCUGAAACUCAAAUGAAUUGACGGGG
rnacentral:rRNA from 1 species